rnacentral:rRNA from 1 species
CACGUAGGGUGCGAGCGUUGUCCGGAAUUAUUGGGCGUAAAGAGCUCGUAGGCGGUGUGUCGCGUCGGCCGUGAAAACCUGCAGCUUAACUGUGGGCUUGCGGUCGAUACGGGCAUCACUGGAGUUCGGCAGGGGAGACUGGAAUUCCUGGUGUAGCGGUGAAAUGCGCAGAUAUCAGGAGGAACACCGGUGGCGAAGGCGGGGUCUCUGGGCCGAUACUGACGCUGGAGGGAGCGAAAGCGUGGGGGAGCGAACAGGA